rnacentral:rRNA from 1 species
AAUGAACGCUGGCGGCGUGCCUAACACAUGCAAGUCGUGCGCGAAAGCGGCUUCGGCCGCGUGUAGAGCGGCGAACGGGUGAGUAACACGUGGACAACCUGCCCAAGAGUGGGGGAUAACCUGGGGAAACUCGGGCUAAUACCGCAUACGUUUCCGGGGUUUCGACUCCGGAAGGAAAGAUGGCCUCUACUUGUAAGCCAUCGCUCCUGGAGGGGUCCGCGGCUGAUUAGCUAGAAAGGCCCCUUCGGGGGCCGAGUAGAGUGGCGCACGGGUGAGUAACACGUAGGUAAUCUACCUCUGGGUGGGGAAUAACGACCGGAAACGGUCGCUAAUACCGCAUAAUGCAGCGGCACCACAUGGUGACAGUUGUUAAAGCGGGGGAUCGUAAGACCUCGCGCCUAGAGAUGAGCCUGCGGCGGAUUAGCUAGUUGGCAGGGUAACGGCCUACCAAGGCGACGAUCCGUAGCCGGCCUGAGAGGGCGGACGGCCACACUGGCACUGACAUACGGGCCAGACUCCUACGGGAGGCAGCAGUCGGGAAUUUUGGGCAAUGGGCGAAAGCCUGACCCAGCAACGCCGCGUGAAGGAUGAAGCUUUUCGGAGUGUAAACUUCAUAAGAAUGGGACGAAUAAGGAGGGGUUAACACCCCCUUUGAUGACGGUACCAUUUGUAAGCUCCGGCUAACUCCGUGCCAGCAGCCGCGGUAAUACGGGGGGAGCAAGCGUUGUUCGGAUUUACUGGGCGUAAAGGGCGCGUAGGCGGCGCAACAAGUCACUUGUGAAAUCUCCGGGCUUAACCCGGAGCGGCCAAGUGAUACUGUCGUGCUAGAGUGCGGAAGGGGCUACUGGAAUUCUCGGUGUAGCGGUGAAAUGCGUAGAUAUCGAGAGGAACACCUGCGGCGAAGGCGGGUAGCUGGGCCGACACUGACGCUGAGGCGCGAAAGCCAGGGGAGCGAACGGGAUUAGAUACCCCGGUAGUCCUGGCCUUAAACGAUGGAUGCUUGGUGUCCGGGGUUACAUAGUCCCCGGGUGCCGGCGCUAACGCAUUAAGCAUCCCGCCUGGGGAGUACGGUCGCAAGACUGAAACUCAAAGGAAUUGACGGGGACCCGCACAAGCGGUGGAGCAUGUGGUUUAA